rnacentral:rRNA from 1 species
UACAGAGGGUGCAAGCGUUAAUCGGAAUUACUGGGCGUAAAGGGUGCGUAGGUGGUUAGGUAAGUUAGAUGUGAAAUUCCAGGGCUUAACCUUGGGACGGCGUUUAAAACUGCCUAGCUAGAGUACUGUAGAGGGAAGUGGAAUUUCCGGUGUAGCGGUGAAAUGCGUAGAUAUCGGAAGGAACAUCAGUGGCUAAGGCGACUUUCUGGACAGAUACUGACACUGAGGCACGAAAGCAUGGGGAGCAAACAGG